rnacentral:rRNA from 1 species
UGGCUCAGAACGAACGCUGGCGGCAGGCUUAACACAUGCAAGUCGAACGCACCUUUCGGGGUGAGUGGCAGACGGGUGAGUAACGCGUGGGAACGUGCCCUUCAGUUCGGAAUAACCCAGGGAAACUUGGGCUAAUACCGGAUACGUGCGAGAGCAGAAAGAUUUAUCGCUGAAGGAUCGGCCCGCGUCUGAUUAGCUAGUUGGUGGGGUAAUGGCCCACCAAGGCGACGAUCAGUAGCUGGUCUGAGAGGAUGAUCAGCCACAUUGGGACUGAGACACGGCCCAAACUCCUACGGGAGGCAGCAGUGGGGAAUAUUGGACAAUGGGCGCAAGCCUGAUCCAGCCAUGCCGCGUGAGUGAUGAAGGCCUUAGGGUUGUAAAGCUCUUUCGUCCGGGACGAUAAUGACGGUACCGGAAGAAGAA